rnacentral:rRNA from 1 species
GAUGAACGCUGGCGGCGUGCCUAAUACAUGCAAGUCGAGCGAACAGAUGAGAAGCUUGCUUCUCUGAUGUUAGCGGCGGACGGGUGAGUAACACGUGGGUAACCUACCUAUAAGACUGGGAUAACUCCGGGAAACCGGGGCUAAUACCGGAUAGUAUUUUGAACCGCAUGGUUCAAUAGUGAAAGACGGUUUCGGCUGUCACUUAUAGAUGGACCCGCGCCGUAUUAGCUAGUUGGUAAGGUAACGGCUUACCAAGGCGACGAUACGUAGCCGACCUGAGAGGGUGAUCGGCCACACUGGAACUGAGACACGGUCCAGACUCCUACGGGAGGCAGCAGUAGGGAAUCUUCCGCAAUGGGCGAAAGCCUGACGGAGCAACGCCGCGUGAGUGAUGAAGGUCUUCGGAUCGUAAAACUCUGUUGUUAGGGAAGAACAAAUUUGUUAGUAACUGAACAAGUCCUGACGGUACCUAACCAGAAAGCCACGGCUAACUACGUGCCAGCAGCCGCAGUAA